GUCUCCAGCCAUACCACCCUGAAUGUGCCUGGUCUCAUUUGGUCUCUGGAGCUAAGCAGGGUGGAGCUUGCUUAGUGCUUGGAUGGGAGACA
rnacentral:rRNA from 1 species